rnacentral:lncRNA from 10 species
CUCUCAGACACCACAGUCCAGGAGAGUCUGACAAGGUGGCUUUAUUCCUGAAACUCAGGGACCUGAUCCAACGCGCUGGAAAUUGUGUUUCUUUUCCCAGCUCAGGCUAUUCACCUCAGGCCCCUGUUUUCCUGUCUCCUCCCCAGGAAGGUUGUGAUAAAAAUCAAUGACAUCAUGUCUCACUGGGCCCCAGCCACCCUUCAGGAAGCAGGUGCUUUGGCUGAGUGGAGGCUGGGGCAUUUUUCUGCUGCGCUGGCCUGCAUCUGCCUUUCGAGUAGCCCUAGAGGCCUAACGCUUGAGGUCACCUUCAUGGUUUUUCCAGUGACCUUGGCCAUUAAUGAGCUCCCACCGCUUCCCCAGCUGCAGCUGUAUUAUAGCGCCAGAGUCUUCCAAGCCUGCAGGUUGUGCCAAGCCUGGAGGGAUUUGCAAAAGAAACAUUUGCCUACACCAAGAUCAUGAAGAUGUUUUCUUCUAGAGGAUUUCUAGUUUUAGCUCUUUAUGUUUAAAUUGAGGGAAACUAAAUGUAUGGCCUUAAGGAGCUGUUCCAGCCUGAGACUAUACACCAGCAGAAAGAAACUCACAGCACUGAAAAUAUUGUUCUCCGCCCUCCCUCAUCCCUCUUCCUUCUGAAUGGGAAAAAAGAGUAAGAAGCUUUUCCCUCCAGCUGAAAGCAAAGGAGUACUCUAGCCCUCUGUGAUAGCUGAUGGCAGCAUCUUUGGUGGCUCUCCCAGAGAGGCUGCUCUCUUUGCUGGAAUUUGCCUUGUUCUCUCCUCACUGCUGAAGCACUGUCACUGCGUCCUAAAAAAACACCACAGUAUCCGUAAGACGUUGCCUGUCAUUGGAGGUUUGCUCCUUCUCUCUAUCUCAGACAGGAUUCAAUGAAGAAAACAGAAGCCACUCAGCGCAAGAACAGACUCAUACAGGAUCACUGCAUGUGGAAUCAGGUAAGACAAGGUCAUACUGGAGUAGGAAAGGGGUUAAUCCAAUAUGACUGGUGUCCUUAAAAAAUGGGAAAUUCAUCGAGGGCAGAUUGGAUAAAGGAAAUGUUGUACAUAUACACUAUGGAAUACUUCACAGCUAUAAAAAAGGAGAAGAUUAUGUCCUUUGCAGGUACAGGAAUGGAGCUAGAGGUCAUCAUCCUUAGCAAACUAAUGCAGGAACAGAAAACCAAAUGCCACAUGUUCUCACUUAUAAGUUGAAGGUAAAUAAUGAGAACACGUGGACACAUAGAGGGGAAUAGCACACACUGGGGCCUACUUGAGGGUAGAAGGUGGGAGGAAGGAGAGGAUCAGAAAAAACGAUUGGUUACUAGGCUUACUACCUGGUUGAUGAAAUAAUCUGUACAGCAAACCCCAGUAUCAAGAGUUUACCUAUAUAACAAAACUGCACAUGUACCCCUGAACCUAAAAUAAAAGCUUUUUAUAAAAAGAAAAGAAAAAGGGCUGGGCAUGAUGGCUCACACCUGUAAUCCCAGGACUUUAGGACACCCAGGUGGGUGGACUGCUAAGCUCAGGAGUUCAAGACCAGCCUAGGCAACAUUGCGAAACCCCGUCUCUACAAAAAUUAGCCAGGCAUGGUGGCAUGUACCUGAAGUCCCAUCUACUUGCAGGGCUGAGGCCAGAGGAUCGCUUGAACCCAGGAGGUGGAGAUUGUAGUGAGUUGUAUUUGUGCCACUGCACUCCAGCCUCGUUGACAGAGCAAGGGCAAGACCUUUUCUUUAAAAAAAAAAAAAGAAAGAAAGAAAAGAAAAAGAAAAGACAAGAAAAGAAAAGAAAAGGAUAUAAUCAGCCAAAUUCAAAAUGUGUGAAAUGCUACAAGCUUCCAGGACUGUGAAACAAGACAUUUCUUUGGUUCAAGCCACUCCCUUAGUGCACAUUGUUAUGGCAGCCAUGGAAAACCAUCCACAGAGGGUCAGUUCCUAUGGAGGUGGGGACGUUCUGUAUCUGUGAUGAAUGACCCCUGCAUACAUUAUAUCUUUCAGUAAAAACAGUGGUGUUUCAGUAGUGUUACUAGCUAAGCUGCUUAACUCUCACAUUACAGACGUCAGUGAAGCCCCUUGGUAGGUAGUGUCUAAAAUUAGAUUUAUCUGCUUAUUUACACAAUUAUACUCUCAUGAGUUUGAAUGUUGGGGAAAGAUCAAGAAAAAGACCAGAUCACUAGAUGGCAAUAGCACACAAGAGCUUUAUUUGGAUGAAGCUUGGACAGAAUGCAUGGAAGGGGAAAGUCCCUUGCAGCAGAAGACCUUCCAGAGGCAGUGGCAGGGCCACCACCAGAAGAAAAGGGCAAGGACACUCCCAGGGGAGAGGAGGAUCAGAGAGGAGGUUACAGGUCUAAGAGAUGUCACAGGUCUAGAAGAAAAGAAAAGGAGCCAGGUGCAGUGGCUCACACCUGUAAUCCCAGCACUUUGGGAGGCCCAGGCGGGCAGAUUGCUGAGUUCAGGAGUUUGAGACCAGCCUAGGCAAACAUGGUGAAACCCCAUCUCUAAAAAAAGAUUUAAAAAUUAACCAGGCCUGGUGGCAUGUACCUGAAGUCUCAUUUACUUGGGGGGCUAAGGCUGGAGGAUCGUUUGAACCCAAGAGGGUUCAUGGUGGGGAGCAUCAUGGUGAGGAGUCUCUGGGUCAGAGAGCUCCAAAGGACAGCAGCCAUUUGGGGUCUUUUGUAGCCCUGAGGUUCGUCUUACCUAUGGUGAGAGGGUGUCGGGUGUAGUUUUGCAAAUUAUCGAAGCAGGCAGGCUCUAAAUGGGCAAAUAAUAUUUGGCCUACAUUUAAAGCAAUUGGAUGUGCAAGAAUUUGAGUUUGGUGCUGGCAGGCUUGAGUUAACGGUCCUGGGCUGUGGUGUGGAAGUAAACAGCAUGGGGGCCAAUACACAGGGGCUGUCUUGAACUCGUUCAUACAAUCCAUUUAUAACCUGUUUAUAACUUGUUUAUAACCCAUUUAUACCACAUACCCCUAAAGCAAAUACCUAGCAGAUAGCAUGCAGGGCCUAUUUGCCUGGCCUCCUUCAAUGGCAUCACAUUCUCCACCACCACGAUGGUUAAUAUGGACGAGCCCUAGCAGCUGCCCAGUGAAGUCCACACGCUACUGCCCAAACCAGCUCAAGUCCUUAGUUGUCAUGAAAAUAAUGUGAGUUCCCACAGCCGUAAAAGGGAAAGCAGCAAGAGCCACAUGAGCAUCCCCGGAACCCUGGGAACAGUCAUCAGUGUCAUCUUCAGGGUCAUGUCCCUACAAGCAGUUCUCAGGCUCCUGCUGAGGGUCAGAACAGAGCCGAAGUCACAGGAUAUCAAAAAUGGAUAAGCCCAACCUCAGCUCGCAGAGGAAUUGCUCAGCUGACAGAUGAUUGUGUUAUCUCAGUGAAGCCAGAUGACAAUGUACUUGGCCAACGGAACAUCUUGGUCAAUGGAUCUCCAAGUUGGUUAUAAAAUUAAAGCAAAAUAAUGCCAUUAUAUGUAAGAUGUCAUUGAUUGUAAGAUGCUCCUUUAUUUGAUGUACCACUAAUAAAUAAAAACACUGACAUUUAAACAAUGACAAUUGCAUAACACAUCUGCUUGUUCAAUGUUAAAUAUGAAAAAAUGUGC